GGGACGGAACGUUUUCAAGAUUCGUUUUUCAAACCACGUCUACUCUGUGUGCAGUUGGUGAUGGAGUACUGCCUCGGAUCCGCCUCCGACCUCCUUGAAGUUCACAAAAAGCCUCUGCAGGAGGUGGAGAUUGCUGCUAUUACUCACGGAGCGCUGCAGGGGCUGGCCUACCUUCACUCUCACAACAUGAUCCACAGG